CACGGACCAAGGAGUCUAGCAUGUGCGCGAGUCAUUGGGACCUGAAUAAACCUANAGGCGCAAUGAAAGUGAAGGUCUGCCUUGCGCGGACCUAGGGAAGAUGGGCGGUCGCCUCACGGCGCCGCUCCGCACUCCCGGGGCGUCUCGUUCUCAUUGCGAGGAGAGGCGCACCAAGAGCGUACACGCUGGGACCCGAAAGAUGGUGAACUAUGCCUGGUCAGGACGAAGUCAGGGGAAACCCUGAUGGAGGUCCGUAGCGAUUCUGACGUGCAAAUCGAUCGUCGGAACUGGGUAUAGGGGCGAAAGACUAAUCGAACCAUCUAGUAGCUGGUUCCCUCCGAAGUUUCCCUCAGGAUAGCUGGCGCUCGUCGCGUACGAGUCUCAUCCGGUAAAGCGAAUGAUUAGAGGCAUUGGGGUCGAAACGGCCUCAACCUAUUCUCAAACUUUAAAUGGGUGAGAUCUCCGGCUUGCUCGAACUAUUGAAGCCGCGAGACACGGAUCAGAGUGCCAAGUGGGCCAUUUUUGGUAAGCAGAACUGGCGCUGUGGGAUGAACCAAACGCCGAGUUAAAGCGCCUAAAUCGACGCUUAUGGGAUACCAUGAAAGGCGUUGGUAACUUAAGACAGCAGGACGGUGGCCAUGGAAGUCGGAAUCCGCUAAG
rnacentral:rRNA from 1 species